rnacentral:rRNA from 1 species
CCUACGGGGGGCUGCAGUCGAGAAUCAUUCACAAUGGGGGAAACCCUGAUGGUGCGACGCCGCGUGGGGGAAUGAAGGUCUUCGGAUUGUAAACCCCUGUCAUGUGGGAGCAAAUUAAAAAGAUAGUACCACAAGAGGAAGAGACGGCUAACUCUGUGCCAGCAGCCGCGGUAAUACAGAGGUCUCAAGCGUUGUUCGGAAUCACUGGGCGUAAAGCGUGCGUAGGCUGUUUCGUAAGUCGUGUGUGAAAGGGGCGGGCUCAACCCGCGGACGGCACAUGAUACUGCGAGACUAGAGUAAUGAAGGGGGAACCGGAAUUCUCGGUGUAGCAGUGAAAUGCGUAGAUAUCGAGAGGAACACUCGUGGCGAAGGCGGGUUCCUGGACAUUAACUGACGCUGAGGCACGAAGGCCAGGGGGGCGAAAGGGAUUAGAUACCCUUGUAGUC